rfam:Salmo salar isolate Sally breed double haploid chromosome ssa01, whole genome shotgun sequence.
AAGGUGGCCUACGCCACGGCCAUGGAUUGGUUCAUCGCGGUAUGCUACGCCUUU